AGCCGCUCUCCCUGACUUGGGGGAGUGAGCGGCCUCUGUCCCUUGAGCUCGGUGUCCCUUCCUUCUUUACACCCAGCUUCUCGCCCUCCGCGCGGACUCUGCUUCCGGCAGGCCUGUCCGGGGACUCCAGGCAAUCAGGCACAGCUGAGGUGAUGGCUCCCGGAGAACUGGCAUAGCUGCAGAAUAUGAGUAGUUUCCCAAGAGGAGUGCAUUGCCUUUGGCACAAGGAUCAGAAUAAAGUUAUUUGCUGUACAGUAACUAGACGCCUCACACUAGGUGCCCCCAGGCUGUAUCC